UCUUAAAGGCUCCGCCUUUGCGUUGAGAUUUCCCGCACGGGAACUCUCCAAACCCAUGGGCGUUUGUCGUGCCUGAACCGCAACACUCUGCGUCUAAAGGACCUCGGCAAGCGCCAGUCAACCGUCUA
rnacentral:misc_RNA from 1 species